rnacentral:rRNA from 1 species
UACGAAGGGGGCUAGCGUUGUUCGGAUUUACUGGGCGUAAAGCGCACGUAGGCGGACUAUUAAGUCAGGGGUGAAAUCCCGGGGCUCAACCCCGGAACUGCCUUUGAUACUGGUAGUCUUGAGUUCGAGAGAGGUGAGUGGAAUUCCGAGUGUAGAGGUGAAAUUCGUAGAUAUUCGGAGGAACACCAGUGGCGAAGGCGGCUCACUGGCUCGAUACUGACGCUGAGGUACGAAAGCGUGGGGAGCAAACAGG